GGCUCAGAUUGAACGCUGGCGGCAUGCUUAACACAUGCAAGUCGAACGGUAACAGUCCUUCGGGAGCUGACGAGUGGCGGACGGGUGAGUAACGCGUAGGAAUCUGCCCACGGGUGGGGGAUAACUCUCCGAAAGGAGAGCUAAUACCGCAUAAGACCUAAGGGUGAAAGCGGGGGAUCUUCGGACCUCGCGCCGGUGGAUGAGCCUGCGUCCGAUUAGCUAGUUGGUAGGGUAAAGGCCUACCAAGGCGACGAUCGGUAGCUGGUCUGAGAGGACGGCCAGCCACACUGGGACUGAGACACGGCCCAGACUCCUACGGGAGGCAGCAGUUGGGAAUAUUGGACAAUGGGGGAAACCCUGAUCCAGCGACACCGCGUGGGGGAUGAAGGCCCUUGGGUUGUAAACCCCUGUCGGGGGGGACGAAGUCCGGCGAGUUAAUACCUCGCCGGGUUGACGGUACUCCCGGAGGAAGCCACGGCUAACUCUGUGCCAGCAGCCGCGGUAAGACAGAGGUGGCGAGCGUUGUCCGGAUUUACUGGGCGUAAAGGGCGUGUAGGCGGUCUCUCAAGUCGGCCGUGAAAGGCGCCAGCUCAACUGGAGCAGUGCGACCGAUACUGUGGGGCUUCGAGGACGGGAGAGGGAAGUGGAAUUCCCGGUGUAGCAGUGAAAUGCGUAGAUAUCGGGAAGAACACCAAUGGCGAAGGCGACUUCCUGGCCCGUUUCUGACGCUGAGGCGCGAAAGCCAGGGGAGCAAACGGGAUUAGAUACCCCGGUAGUCCUGGCUGUAAACGAUGAACACUAGGUGUGGGGGAGGUUCCUCCUCCGUGCCGAAGGUAACCCAUUAAGUGUUCCGCCUGGGGACUACGGCCGCAAGGUUGAAACUCAAAGAAAUUGACGG
rnacentral:rRNA from 1 species